rnacentral:tRNA from 1 species
CCGCGCCGGUGGUGUGGGUGUUGACGGCGGACUCGACGCGCCCGGCCCAGCCGUGGUCCACGAGGCUGACGCAGGUGCCGCCGCCGGUCAGUGAGGA